GGGCUCGCUUCGGCAGCACAUAUACUAAAACUGGGACGAUACAGAGAAGAUUAGCAUGGCCCCUGCGCAAGGAUGACACACAAAUUCGUGAAGCGUUCCAUGUUUUU
rnacentral:snRNA from 1 species